rnacentral:rRNA from 1 species
GACGAACGCUGGCGGCGUGCUUAACACAUGCAAGUCGAACGGAAAGGCCCUGCAUUUUUGUUGUGCUCGAGUUGCUAACGGGUGGGUAACACAUGCGUAAUCUGCCCUCGCUUUUGGGAUAACUUCCGGAAACUGGGGCUUACUCCUGAUACGUACGCCUUCUUCAUGGUGUGGGUUGUAAAGUUUCGGCGGUUGGGGCUUGUCUCGCGGCGUAUCAGCUUGUUGGUGGGGCAGUGUCUUACCAAGGCUUGGACGGGUAGCCGGACUGAGAGGGUGACAGGGCACAGAGGGACAGAGAAAGGAGCAAGAGUGAAACGGGAGGCAGGAGUGGGAAAUAGUGCAAAAAGGGCGGAAGCCUGGAGGAGCAACGUCGCGUGCGGGAUGACGGCCUUCGGGGUGGAAACGGCUUUCGCCUGUGACGAAGAGGGAGUGACGGUAAUGGAUAAAGAAGCAACGGCUAACUACGUG